UUGCUUGGGCAGCAAAUAUACUAAAAUUGGACGGAUACAGAGAAGAUUAGCAUGGCCCCUGCUGCUCAAGGAUGACACACAAAUUCGUGAAUCGUUCCAUAUAUUU